GGAACCUCCAUAUGCCACACAGGCCCUUUAAAAAGAGAAAGUGUGACAAGGGCCCUGGUAAGAAUUACACCAGGACAGAAGGUAUAAACUGAGACUGCCCUGGGAAAACUAAGACAUAUAGUCAACCGGCUUAUAGCCAGCCCUUGCUUCCCAUCCCAAAACCUCCUCCCACACCCAUGGUCCUGCCCCCUCCUAAGGGAGGGCUCUCAGGUCUCCACCUGUAGGAGGAACUCAUUCUCAGCUCAGACGGCCCCUCUUCUGUGAAGCCUUUUCCAACCCGCAUGAAGUGAACUUGAGGAUGUAAAGUGAGUGAGUGAUGAAUAUUUAUUAAAGGAAUAAGCAUUUCCUUCAAAGGAGUUCCAUGUUCCUAUUAAUUCAUGGUCUCGAGGAAAUGAAGACACGUUGCACCAUAGCUUCCAAGGCUCUAAAUGCAGACAGUUGGUGGAGAAGAGGGAAAAAAGUGACUUUCUCAAACCAUUUUUUUUAAUUGAAGUAUAGUUGACUUGGCAAUGUUGUGUUAGUUUCAAGUGUGCGGCAGAGUGAUUCGGUUGUAGAUACACACACACACACACACACACACACACACACACACACACACACACACACACACACAUAUAUGUCCUUUUCCAGAUUCUUUUCCAUGAUAGGUUAUUACAAGAUACUGAAUAUAGUUCACGGGGUAAGACAGUAAGUCCUUGUUUCUUUAUCUUUUUUAUAUAUAGUAGUAUGGACAUGUUAAGUCCAAACUCCAAAUAUAUUUCCGCCCUCCACUUGCUGUCCCCUUUGGUAACCAUAAGUUUGUUUUCUAUGUCUGUGUGUCCAUUUCUGUUUUGUAAAUAAGUUCGUUUCUAUCAUUCUUUUAGAUUUCACAUAUAAGUGAUACCAUAUGACACUUAUCUUUCUCUGAUUUACUUAGUAUGAUAAUCUCUAGAUCCACCCAUGUUGCUACAAAUGAAAUUAUUUCAUUCUUUUCUAGUCCAUUGUAUAUAUGUAUCACAUCUGCUUUAUCCAUUCACCUGUUGAUGGACACUUAGGUUGCUUAAAAAGUGACAUUUUAUUUUCUUCUAAAGUACAAAUGCUAAAUAAAAGUACUACUUUCUUAGGAGCCUGGGUUGGAAAGCCCAGGAACUGGAAGAGGCCUAGAAUAUGAUCUAGUCUAUAUAAGUCCGAUCUCACAGGGGACCAAAGAGAUCUAAGAGGUAAGGUAACUUGUCCAUGGACCCAGGGGUGGAGAGUGGCAGUACUUUUUCAUUCACCCACCUUUGAAACAACCCUGGAGACUGAUAAGACUCCUUUAUUGCUGGUAUUAGUCUUAUCUCAGGUGCCUGCUCUGUAAAAAAAUCAAUAGUCACCAAUGCUCCACUCUGCCAGGUCCACAUGACACAGCACAUUAGCACAGAGCCAUAUUGGCCACAUUCCACAGGUGAGUUUCACCCUAUCCUCAUUGAGAAGAGUUUGUGGAUCAGGAUCCUCCAGGCAACAUAGUUGCCAUAUUUCCAAUGUCUCAAAUAGACUGCUGAGCAUAGCUGAGGCGCUCUUUAGGAGAGUGGAAAUGAUAUAGCAGAACAAUAAAAAGCAUGGGCAUUGGAGUCAGACCAGAAUUAGAUAAAUAAAUACAUGCUGUGUCCAGGAGUUGUUCUUCCUUGGUUGCUGGUGGGACCACCAACCACUGGGAUUUUCCACUUGGGUUCCAUAUUUGUUUUCUCUGCCCUCAGCAUCCUGCUAUGCAUGGCAUGUCUUUCUUGACCUUUAAUCACAUGUGCCUCUCAAGUGUGGACCUCAGUUUCAGCUACUACUAGAAGACAAUUGCAGAGCAAUUGUGAAUUUACAAGUGACACAACUGUGCUCAGGGCCACUAGUGAACAAGGCAGUGGCUCAGUUAACACAAGAGGUCUCUCGGAGAGAGAGAGGUUUAACCAAGGAUAACCACUGCAUUGUUCAUCUCUGUGGUUCAGAAAUGGAGGGUAGAAGGAAAGAGCCCUGUGAGUGGCCUCAAAAGAGCUGGACUGAACCCCUCACCUGCUGUGUUGUGGGCUGGAGCACAAGCUUGGCUAUGCUAGAAUGGGCUGGAAGCUACCUUCUCCCUAAAGUAAAGCUCCAGGCUAUGGGGAAAAUCCAGCCUCACACCAACUCUGAAGUCCUUAAUUCUGCUUUGUUAAUUACCAGAGUUCCUUUUAAUAUAAGAAAUGUAUCCUCAGAGUUCCUGUUGUGGCUCAGCAAGUUAAGAACCCAGCCAGUAUCCAUGAGGAUGCAGGUUUAUUUCCUGGCCUCGAUCAAUGGGUUAAGGAUCCGGCGUUGCUGUGAGCUGUGUUGUAGGUCACAGACUCGGUUCAGAUCCCAGUGUUACUGUGGUGUAAGCCAGCAGCUGCAGCUCCCAUUCAACCCUUGGCCUGGGAACCUCCAUAUGCCAUGGGUAUAGCCCUAAAAAGGCAAAAAAAUAAAUAAAUAAAUAAAUAAAUAAAUAAAAAGGCAAAAAAAAGAGAGAGAGAGAGAGAGAAAUACAUUCUCAGAUUAGCCCAAAUUGUGAUAAUUCACGAAGCUUGUCUAUGUAGCAGUAUGCUACAUAGGUUUUCCCAAGAAAUUUGCCUACUUAAGGCAGGUUAUCGAAAGCUAGUAUUUGGAUAGCAUCAUCAGAAGGAGUAUUUUUAAUCCAUUUUUUUAAACUCCCCGUAACUAUAUAACCAUUUGAAAAACGGUCUGACAGCCCUGACUGUCCUUGAACAUACAUGUAUCCUCGGACCUGGCAAAUCUGGACAUAUGUUAACGUACCCAGCAGAGGCUCAUAUUUUGUGUACCAGGUACAAAAACGCUUGUGGCAGCACAUGUUGCAAUUGUCCAGAAAUAGAAAGAACCCAAUUGUCCACCAAGGGCAGAAUGUUAUGGAGCAACCAGAAUGAAUGAUGUCUGACUUGAGGCCACCGCAUGAAUGAAGCUCACAUCCAGAAUGAUGAGCAAAAGAAGCCAGAUGCAAAAUAGUGGACAAAAUGCAAUCCUUGUUCUAUAAAGUUCAAAAACAGAGCCAAUCAAUAGCAUUAGAAAUCAGCACAGCUGUUUCUCUUGUAACAGCAGAAAAACCUAAGAUUCUGGCUGGGUUCUGUCUCUUUACCUGGGUACUAGUUACACAAGUGUGUUCAUUUUGUGGAAAUUUGUUGAGCUCAGCCCUUAUGACUUCUGCACUUUUCCACAUGAAUGAAUCAAUACAUGACUAUGAAUACAGAAUUAUUCAUAUAUUUUGGAGGAAAAAUAGAAUAUCUCUUCAUGCGCUGAUGAGACUUAAGGAGGAUAGAUCCAGAAUUAUCCCUUCCUGAAUACUCCUCUUUCCCCUUCUCCAUGCAGACGAGGGUGAGCUAUGUGGGGAACCAGUGCGAUGGAAAAUCCCCCGACGUAUAGAACCAAAUAUAGGGGGACAACCACUGCUCCUAAGCCUCCCAGGAUGGCCCCCAAGUAGGAACAGAGGAACCUUCAGGUUCCCCCCACCCCAUAUCUCUACUCCUUCCUUCAUUCCCUAAGCUGCACAUUCUCUCAGGACCACAUAGCCCUGGUGGUUCUCAGUGCCCCAGAGGCUAAAGCCAUACUGACCCAGGCCCUGCAUGGUCCAGGCCUCCUAUCUGGCUUCCCCCUUGGGGCUCUGUACUUACUGCUCCCUCUGCCUGGAACACCCAGUGCCAGCUCUCCCUAUGGACAGGUUCUUGUCUUCCAAGAACCGGCUCUAAUGUUACUUCCUCAGAAAGAACAAUUGAAACCAUUCCCACGGUCACUUUAAAAAGAAAUGUGUAGCAUGCAAUACUUUCUUAAAUGAUCAUAUUUGUUUAUUCUCUCUCUCUUGCUCUCUCUAUACACAAACACACACACACAAAAUGUAAGUUUCAAGAAAACAGACACUGGGUGUCAGUCACAUCUUCACAGCUCUGUCCCCCAUACCUGGCACAGAGUAGGCUAUGACUGAAUACAUGCAAAUGAAUAAAUGCCACCUCCUCCAGGAAGCCUUCCCUGACCCUGAUAACCCACACACAUCUCUCUCCACUGACCUUCUCUAAGAUCUGUGUGCUCUCUCACCCACAGGAUGUUAUCACUCACUUCCUUGUACUGUAGUUGGUUUCAGUACAUGCUGCAGUCCUACAGCUAGAUCUUAUGUCCUGGAGAGCAGAAUCUUGGGUUUAUGCUCCUUCAUAGCUCCAGAACCUAGUGCAGAUUCCUGCACAUAACAGGAAAGCAAUAAACAUGGGUUCAAUCGAUUGAGGAGGAAGGAGAACACAGCAGAAAAGGUGAACUGUGAACUCAGAAGUCCUGACUUACCACUUACUACCUAGCUGUGUGUCCUUGGAAAAAUUACACAGCAUCUCUGAGUCUAGCUUCUCAAUUUUAAAGCAGGCACAUUAAUUUUUAUUUUAUAGAAUUUAAAAAGAAGUUAUAUAAAGCACUAUAUAUAUUCCUCUGUGUGUGUGUAUGUGUGUAUAUAUAAGUGUGUGCGUAUACAUAUAUGUGUGUAUAUGUGUGUAUGUAUAUAUGUGUGUGCAUAUAUAUAUAAACAUAUAUAUUCAGAAAUUUUAUAUAUAUAUAUAUAUAUACUCAGAAGUGUCAGGAAUUCCCAAUGUGGCUCAGUGGUAAUGAACCCAACUAGUAUCCAUGAGGAUGCGGUUCGAUCCCUGGCCCCAAUCAGUGGGUUGAUGAUUUGGUGUUGCUGUGAGCUGUGGUGUCAGUUGAAGUUGCGGCUUGGAUCCCACGUUGCUGUGGCCAAGGUAUAGCUCUGAUAUUUGACUCCUAGCCUGGGAACUUCCAUAUGCCACAGGUG
rnacentral:lncRNA from 1 species